UACGGGGGGGGCAAGCGUUGUUCGGAAUUACUGGGCGUAAAGGGCUCGUAGGCGGCCAACUAAGUCAGACGUGAAAUCCCUCGGCUUAACCGGGGAACUGCAUCUGAUACUGGAUGGCUUGAGUUCGGGAGAGGGAUGCGGAAUUCCAGGUGUAGCGGUGAAAUGCGUAGAUAUCAGGAGGAACACCAAUGGCGAAGGCAGCUCGCUGGGACGUGACUGACGCUGAGACGCGAAAGCGUGGGGAGCAAACAGG
rnacentral:rRNA from 1 species